rnacentral:rRNA from 1 species
AUGGGAGAAGAAAAAUGGAGGUUAUUUGUAGAGGAAUACUAUAAAUGGUACACUCAAGUUAAUGUGGUAUCGCGGGAUGAGAUUCUUAAGAAAGCUAAUUGUGAUAUAUGUCUGAAUUGGCAUUUGGCUACAGUGCGCGAUAACAGUCUUCUGCAAAUGGUGUACUGGAAUGGAAGAGAGAACUUGUGUCCAUCAUCUUACUUUACUAAAGGCUGCAAAGUUCCUCGGCGGACGGCUAGCGAUGCUGAAAUAUUCCGGUUCACCCAAGAAGAUGGGUAUUUAGCAGUUUUCCAGCGGACGUUUUAUGUUCACGGGCUACAUAUUCUUGGGGCUCGUUGGUCAUUGAGAGAACUGGCACUUUAUAUUGCGUAUAUUUUCAAACAUUUUCUGCCACGUUUUAUUGAAAGGAUUUACGCCAACUCUCAUGAACAUCAUCUCUUUGCUGAGAUCCUUGAUACAUAUGUAAAGCGGAGGUCUGCUUCCCGGAGGCAUAUUCGAGGAAAACUGUACGAAGUGGCAGCCUAA